rnacentral:rRNA from 1 species
UACGUAGGGUGCAAGCGUUGUUCGGAAUCACUGGGCGUAAAGGGAGCGUAGGCGGAACUGUAAGUUAGAAGUUUAAUACCCAGGCUUAACCUGGGGCUUGCUUCUAAUACUGCGGUCCUUGAGUAAGGAAGAGGGAGAUGGAAUUCCAGGUGUAGCGGUGGAAUGCGUAGAUAUCUGGAAGAACACCAGCGGCGAAGGCGGUCUCCUGGUCCUAUACUGACGCUGAGGCUCGAAAGUUAGGGGAG